AGGCCGCUGCCAGUACCCGAGCGGGCGGGAGGGCAGCUGCGGAGUCAGAAGCCCACCCUGAUGCCCAGUUCGCUCCGAGUGCGUCGUCCGCUUUCUCCCGGAGGCCGCGGCGACCCCGCCGGGAUGUGCGACAUGUGGUGCCCCGACCCCCGACCCUUGACCCUUGACCUCCGGGCAGCUCCGACCCUUUCAACACUCUCCGGGGUCGUGCGUCGGGAGACCCCGGCCCCUGCCCGCGUGCACCCGGGGGGCCCCGCGCGAAGCCUGCGGCGGCUUCCACGUGGGCGCGGCUCAGUCCCGCUGCCGAUCCGUGACUCCGCGCCGCCCUCCGCGCCCGGCCUAGGUUGGUGGGGGGGGGAUCUCUCUGGGCCUCCGUUCUUUGACCCCGCGGUGCCCUCCGCGCCGGGGCUGGGGGUUCCGUGGGCCGCGCCCACCCGCCCGGGCUCCCCUAUUUCCCCGUGUCUGUGCCCGUGUCUGCCCGGCGGGGGCUGCGGCCGGGGUCCUCCUUCGCGACCUCCCACUCCGCCCUUCCUCCCUCCCUCCCUCCCUCCCUCCCGCCUCCCUCCUCCCUCCCUCCCGCCUCCCUCCUCCCUCCUCCCGCCUCCUCUCCCUUCCCGGCUCUCUCCCGCCCGCCCUUUUCUCCCCGUCUCUUCCUUCCCUGCUUGCCUUUGCUUUUUGCUGCUUUCCCGCCUCCCUCCUUUUUCUCCGUCUUUCCGUCUCUGCCUUCGUUUCCCUCCCUCCCUUUUUCUUUCAUUUCUCUCUCCCUUUCUCCUUCCUUUCUUGCUACGUUUCUUCCCUCUUUUUCAUUUUUUUCCUUCCUUUUUCUGCUUUUCUCCCUCCGCCCUUCCUCUGUUUUUUCUUUGCUCCCUCCCUCUUUUUUCUCCCUCUUUCCGUCUCUCCUUCCCUUUUCCUCUUUCCUUCCCUUCCUCCCUUUUCUGCCUUUCCCUCCUUCCCUCUCUUUUCCUUUUCCUCUUUAUUUCCUGUCUCCCUUCCUCUCGUCCCUUUCUCCCCUCUCUCUUUUCCGUUUUUUUUUUCUUUUGAGACAGAGUUUCGCUCUUGUUGCCCAAGCUGGAGUGCAAGCUCCGCCUCCCGGGUUCAAGCGAUUCUCCUGCCUCAGCCUCCCAAGUAGCUGGAAUGACAGGCAUGCGCCACCGCGCCCAGCUAAUUUUAUAUUUUUAGUAGAGACGGGGUUUCGCCAUGUUGGUCAGGCUGGUCUCGAACUCCGGACUUCAGGGGAUCCGCCCACUUCGGCUUCCCAAAGUGCUGGGAUGACAGGUGUGUGAGCCACCACGCCUAGCUGUCUCUUUUCCAUUUUUUAAUUUUUUUUUCAUUUUUCCUCUCUCCCUUUGCCUCUCUUUUUCUUCUUCCUUUUAUUCUUUCCUGUCUUGUUCUUUCCUUCCUCUCUGUUUCUCCCUUUCUCCCUGUUUUCCUUUUUUUUUUUUGAGAUGGAGACUUGUUCUGUCACCGAGGCUGGAGUGCAGUGGCGUGAUCUCAGCUCACUGCAACCUCUGCCUCUCAGGUUCUAGAGAUUCUUGUGCCUCAACUUCCCAAGUAGCUGGGAUUACAGGUGCCAGCCACCCCACCCGGCUAUUUUUUUUUUUAAGGACAGAUGGCGUUUCACCAUGUUGGCCAGGCUGGUCUUGAACUCCUGACCUCAGGUGAUCCGCCCACCUCGGCCUCCCAAAGUGCUGGAUUACAGUCGUGCGCCACUGCGUCCCGCCUCCUUUUCUUUUUUCUUCUCUCCUCCGUCUUUUUCUAUCCUACCUCCCUGCCUCUUUCCUCUCUCCUCCCUCCUUUUCCUUUUUCUUCUCUCCUCCCUCCCUCCUGUUUUUCUCCAUCAUUCCCUCUCCCUUCCUUUCUUUUUCUCCCGUUCCCCGUUUGCCUCCCUCCCCUUUUUCUUUCCUGUCUCCCUGUCUCCUUUGCUCUUUUCCUCCCUUUCUCCCGUCCCUCCCUCCCCGCCUUCCUUUUCACUUCUUUCCCUUCCCAUUGCUUCCUUGCGUUUCCUGCCUUUCCCUGUCUCUCCCUUUCUUUCCUGCCUUUCCCUGCCUCUCUCUUUCCUGCCUUUCCCCAUCUCUCCCUUUCCUGCCUUUCCCUGUCUCUCCCUUUCUUUCCCUCUCCUCCCACUCUCCCUCCUUCCUCCCUUCUUUUCUUUCCUCUUCUUUCCCUGUGUCUUUCUUUUUUCUUUCCUUCUCUCUUCCUUUUCUCUCCCUGUGUCUUUCUCGCUCUUGUUUUUCCUUUCUCUCCUUUGUGUACUGAGAAAAUGACAGUCCCCGGCUGUGGGUGGGCAGGAGUGACCCGCCCCAGAGAGCGGGGUCACCCUGGGUGACUCCUGGGUGCAGCUGUGAGCCCUGCCUGAGGCUUUUCCUGACCUCUGGGGAGGGCGGCUCAGCCUGGGGCUGGAGGUUGGGGCCAGCUCUGGAGGCUGGAGUGGCUGCUGGGCGGCGGGACGGGUGUCUCAGAAGUCACUGAGGCAUGGGUAGGUCUAACCUUGGGACAUUGCUGUGGGGAGGGCUGUGGAGACCAAGCACAUUCCUGAGGCUCUGCCAGGGCAGCGGGGGUGGACAGUGUCCCCUGAGGACCCAGGACCAAGCCAGGCUCGCUACAGGGGUCCUGGAAUAGAGGACAGAGGCCAGGAGCGCUGUGGGUGCUGGGCAGGGGUGGGGAGUUUGCUGGGGAGCUGCGCCUUACAGACCUGUGUUUGUUUCCCAGCCUCAGCGAGGCCGGGCUGGACGGGGCCCUGGUGCUGGUUUUCAGUGCCUCAGCGAGGCCGGGACCAGAGCUGCUAUUUCCAGAUGAGGCUGGCUCGCAUCUGCUCUGGCCGGGGCUCCAGGCCUGAGCCCUGCAACACGGCGUUCCCUUUCCAAGUCUGCAAAGCCUGUCUUAGGGGAGAGAAGAAGUUUCCUUCCAUGCGGGUGGGGACGGCUAACCAUGUCCAGACACUGAGACCGGUGCUCUGUGUGCUCAGCCUUCAGCCUGCACUGGCUUGGUGGCUUGGUGACCCGCCAGCAGGGUGGUGCUGUCUGUGGGCUCUGCUCAAGCUCCUCUCAGAGCCAGGAGGAUGCCCGCCUGCUUGGGCCUGGCUCCCAGGAUGUGCUUGGCAAAUGCUUCUGGGAUGGAUGGAUGGAUGGAGUGCUGCACGUGGGACUUAGCCUUGGACACUAACUCCUUUGCCCCUCGUAUCUGGGAGGGAACAACACAGUUGCUAUGCCUGACUAGGGCAUGACCUGGGAGGCCUUUGGGGCCACACAGCCUCCUUGGGAAAGGAGGAUCAGGACCAAGAAGAAAGGAAUGAGCCCCGAUCCGCCUGCCAGGUACCCACCCAUGAGAACCCCUUCUCUGCCAGCAUCUGAUAAAAUUACCUGCGUAGCUUUAGAGAUCACUGCUGCCUGACCAGCAGCCGCUCUGCUGGAAUCUGUCCAGAAAGCCCCUUGGGGCUCAGAAAAGUAGGUGGGUUAAUAAUAGAAGUAGAUGUGGGUUUUUUUGUUUGUGUGUUUAUUGAGACGGAGUCUUGCUCUGUGGCCCAGGCUGGAGUGCAGUGGCGUGAUCUCGGCUCGCUGCAAUCCCUGCCUCCCAGGUUCAAGCAUGUCUUCUGCCUCAGCCUCCCAAGUAGCUGGGAUAGCAAGUGUGCACCACCACGCCUGAUUUUUGUAUUUUUAGUAGAGAUGGGGUUCCAUCCAUCCAUUCCAGAAGCAUUUGGCAAGCACAUCCUGGGUGCCAGGCCCAAGCAGGCUGGUCUCAAACUCCUGACCUCAAGUGAUCCGCCCACCUCGGCCUCCCAAAGUGCCGGGAUGACAGCUGUGAGCCACCGCGCCCCGCCCAGAAGCAGAGGUGUUUUAACGGGAAGACUUCAGGCUUCAUCGGACGGCCGGGAAGGAAUCAGAGCAGGGGUUUCUUCCGAGAUGGCCAGUGGUCACCUGAGAUGGAGCAGAGAGCACCUGUGGCGGGCAUCUUCUCUAGAAGCCGCCUGUGAGCCCUACGGAGGCCCUGGGCUUCGUGCCGUAAGACAGACGGUGUCCUGCAGCAGCCUGCAGCACUGGGCACACUCACCUGCUGUCCAGGUUUGUAGCCCGGGAGCCUGGGGCCCUGCCGCACAGCCCAGGUGAGUAGCAGGCUGUAUGUGCCACGGCGGUAUGUGUGAGUGCACCCCGUGAUGGGCACACAAAGAGAAUUGCCUAAGGAUGCAUUUCCCGAAACAGGUCCCUGUCAUUCAGUGACACACGUGACUGUGUGUGUGUGUGUGUGUGUGUGCGCACAGAUGGGUGUGUAUGUGUAUGUAUACACACCUGAACACUCACACCUCUACACACGUGCCUGUACACGGAUAGAACACAUAAUUUACAGAAUUUAUGGAACACAUAAUUUAUAUUACAUAAAAUAUAUAGAGAUCAGUUUUGUUUUCUUUUAUUUAUUUAUUUAGACGGAGUCUCACUCUGUCGCCCAGGCUGGAGUGCAGUGGCACAAUCUCGGCUCACUGCAACCUCCACCUACUGGGUUCAAGCCAUCCUCCUGUCUCAGCCUCCCCCCUGUAGCUGGGAUUAUAGGCUCCUGCCACUAUGCCCGGCUAGUGUUUGUAUUUUGUGUAGAGACAGGAUUUCACUCUGUUGGCCAGGCUGGUCUCGAAUUCCUGACCACAGGUGAUCCGCCCACCUCAGCCUCCCAAAGUGCUGGGAUGACAGGCGUGAGCCACUGCACCCAGCCUAUUUCAGCUGUUUUCUUAAAGCACAAAGCAACCUACACAUUCUUUUGUGAUACCAGGCCACUGUAAGGGUGGAGCAGCAUGUGACUUUGGUGUUAUUGAGAUCAUCCGUGACCAUUGCAGAAAACCACUCCCAUCUGUGCAGUGAGCACCUUGAAAUAGGCCGCCCAGGAGGCAGAGGGUGCACCUUGAAAUUGGGCUAGGAGGCGGAGCUUGCGCCUUGAAAUAGGCCGCCCGGGAGGCGGGGCUUGCACCUUGAAAUAGGCCGCCCAGAAGGCGGGGUUGCACCUUGAAAUAGGCCACCCAGGAGGCGGGGCUUGCCCCUUGAAAUAGGCCGCCCAGGAGGCGGGGUUGCACCUUGAAAUAGGCUGCCUGGGAGGCAGAGCUCGCACCUUGAUAUAGGCCGCCCAGGAGGCAGGGCUUGCCCCUUGAAAUAGGCCGCCCGGGAGGUGGGGUUGCACCUUGAAACAGGCCGCCUGGGAGGCGGAGCUUGCACCUUGUAAUAGGCCGCCCGGGAGGCGGGGCUUGCACCUUGAAAUAGGCCUAGAAGGUGGGGCUUCCACCUUGAAAUAGGCCGCCCAGGAGGCGGAGUUUGCACCUUGAAAUAGACUGCCCAGGAGGCGGAGGUUGCAGUGAGCCGAGAUUGCAUUAUUGUACUCCAGUCUGGGUAAGAAGAGCUAAACUCCAGAGUCUGUCUCAGAAAAAGGAAAACAGCUGAAAUAUAGGAGACUGACGCCCAGCCCAGGAACAGGUAAGCUGGGUGCACGCGCCGUGAA
rnacentral:lncRNA from 1 species